rnacentral:tRNA from 1 species
GGGAGUGGAUGGGGCCCGGUGGCUCUCGCGGACUUCAAAUCCGUUGCUGUGGCGCUUUCGCGUUGCAGGGUAGGUUCGACUCCUACGCACUCCCGCCA